rnacentral:rRNA from 1 species
UGCCGGCGACCGGCGGACGGGUGCGUAACGCGUAUGUAACCUACCUUUGACAGGGGGAUAACAUCGAGAAAUUGGUACUAAUACCCCAUAACAUCACCGGAGGCGUCUUCGGUGGUUGAAAACUCAGGUGGUCAGAGAUGGACAUGCGUUGUAUUAGCUAGUUGGUGAGGUAACGGCUCACCAAGGCGACGAUACAUAGGGGGACUGAGAGGUCAACCCCCCACAUUGGUACUGAGACACGGACCAAACUCCUACGGAAGGCAGCAG